UACGUAGGGGGCAAGCGUUGUCCGGAUUUAUUGGGCGUAAAGAGCGUGUAGGCGGUUCGGUAGGUCCGUUGUGAAAACUCGAGGCUCAACCUCGAGACGUCGGUUGAAACCACCUGGCUAGAGUCCGGAAGAGGAGUGUGGAAUUCCUGGUGUAGCGGUGAAAUGCGUAGAUAUCUGGAGGAACACCGGUGGCGAAGGCGGCAUCCUGGACCGGCAUUGACGCUGAGGCGCGAAAGCCAGGGGAGCAAACGGG
rnacentral:rRNA from 1 species